UAGUCUACGCCGUAAACGAUGGAUACUAGCUGUGCGGCUUCGGCUGCGUGGCUAAGCGAAAGUGAUAAGUAUCCCACCUGGGGAGUACGUUCGCAAGAAUGAAACUCAAAGGAAUUGACGGGGGCCCGCACAAGCGGUGGAGCAUGUGGUUUAAUUCGAUGAUACGCGAGGAACCUUACCAGGGCUUAAAUGUAGAGUGACAGGUCUAGAGAUAGACUUUCCUUCGGGCGUUUUGUAAGGUGCUGCAUGGUUGUCGUCAGCUCGUGCCGUGAGGUGUCAGGUUAAGUCCUAUAACGAGCGCAACCCCUGCCGUUAGUUGCCAGCAUGUAAAGAUGGGGACUCUAACGGGACUGCCGGUGCAAACCGCGAGGAAGGUGGGGAUGACGUCAAAUCAUCACGGCCCUUACGUCCUGGGGCCACACACGUGCUACAAUGGCCGGUACAGCGAGUUAAUCUCCAAAAUGCAUCUCAGUUCGGGAUUGGGGGUCUGGCAACUC
rnacentral:rRNA from 1 species